rnacentral:rRNA from 1 species
GGCGACCGGCGCACGGGUGCGUAACGCGUAUGCAACCUACCUGUAACAGGGGGAUAACACUGAGAAAUCGGUACUAAUACCGCAUAACACUAUGAGAGGCAUCUCUUGUGGUUGAAAGUUUCGGCGGUUACAGAUGGGCAUGCGUUGUAUUAGCUGGUUGGUAAGGUAACGGCUUACCAAGGCGACGAUACAUAGGGGGACUGAGAGGUUAACCCCCCACAUUGGUACUGAGACGCGGACCAAACUCCUACGGAAGGCAGCAG